GACGGAGGAGGCAAGCGUUAUCCGGAAUGAUUGGGCGUAAAGCGUCCGCAGGUGGCUGUGUAAGUCUGCUGUCAAAGAGCGAAGCUCAACUUCGUAAAGGCAGUGGAAACUACACGGCUAGAGUGCGUUCGGGGCAGAGGGAAUUCCUGGUGUAGCGGUGAAAUGCGUAGAUAUCAGGAAGAACACCGGUGGCGAAAGCGCUCUGCUAGGCCGCAACUGACACUGAGGGACGAAAGCUAGGGGAGCGAAUGGG
rnacentral:rRNA from 1 species